GACAAAAUUGAUCAAGAUUUACCAUUCUAAUGCAACUAGGGAGAAGUCUGAUAAGUUGUAAGAUGCUUUGGAAAGUUCGUGAUAGCAAUGUUGUUUUUGCUUUCUCUGUGUUUUUUUUUCUUUCUUUCUUCCUGAUUGAACGUAAAGUCGGCAACCUUCUGCCGGCGAUGCGUCCUGGCCUUAAUUUGGCCGGAUGUCAGUGCCUCCGCGCUGCUACUUUGAAGAAUUAUGAGUGCUCAAAGCCAAGGCCUACUCGCUCUGUAUACGAUUAGAGGGAUAACAUUUAUUAGGAUUUCGGUCCUUAUUACGUUGUGGCCUUCGGGAUCGGAGAGUAAUGAUUAACAGGACAGUCGGGGGCAUUUCGUGAUUUCAGUCAGAGGUUGAAAUUUCUUGAUUUAUGAAAGGACGAACACGCUCGAAGAGCUACUUUUGCCAUAGGAUGUUUCAUUAAUCAAGAACGAAAGUUGUGAUAUUAUCUUGCUAGGGCUCGAAGUGAACUGAAAAUCAGAUAUCCGUUCCUAGUCUCAACCAUAAACGAUGCCCGACCAGGGAAUCGGCGGGAUGUUGCUUUUAGGACGCUCCGCCGGCACCCUUAUGAGAAAGUUCAAGAGUCUUUGGGUUCCGGGGGGAGUAUUGGUCGCAAGUGCGUGUAAUCUUAAAAGAAUUGACGGGGAAGGGCACCACCAGGAGUUGGAGCCUUUGCAGGCUUAAUUUUGAGACUCAUGAACAACGGUCUUACUCUCGUGGAAUUAAACUUCACCGAGCGUCCCAUGACUAUAGUAAGAUUGACAGAUGACUGAGAGAAUCUCUUUGUUCUGAUUUUGAUUUCUUAUGGGUGGUGCGUCGUCAUGGCCGUUCUUAUAGUUGGUGGAGCAUUUGUAUUCUUGACGUUAAUAUUCCGUUAAUAUACGAGCACCUUUCAGCCUGCCUAACUAGCUAUGCGGAGGUAUCCCUCUCGUCGGGCAGCUUAAACUCUUGUACAGAGGGACUACGCCAUUGUGAAGCCGUCGGGAAAGGGUCUAAGUUUGAGGCGAAUAACAGGUUCUGUGAUGGCGCUUAGAUGUUCUGGUUCGCCGCACGUCGCGCGCUACACUAUGUAUUAACGAUGUGGCACUAUUGCCUUGGGCCGGCCAGCGCCGGUAAGAAGGUGAAUUCUUGAAUUUCAUCUGUCGUGAUCCCGGAUGUUAGAUACUAUUGUGCGUUGUUGGUUUCUCUUCAUUACCGGAGGGAAUUCCUAGUGUAAGCGCGAGUCGAUCAGCUGCGCGUUGACUACGUCCCUGGCCUUUGUACACACCGGCCCGUCGCUCCUACCGAUUGAAUGAUCCGCGUGCUCUAGUGAAGGUGUUUCGCUCAUCGCGGCGUCUUCCGGAUACAGGUAGCGGUUCGCUAAAUGCUGCAUUGUUUUUUCAUCAAAUCAAUUGAUUUCUCUUAUGUAUCGCCCUUGCUUUCUAGCCUCCUCAUUAAUUUUCAUGCCACUUGCAAAUAUCGCGACUGUACGAUUCUUUGAUGAGUCAUGGAACUCUUAUUCAUUUAGAGUCGAAGAGAAGUUCGUAACAAGCGUUCCGUAGGUGAACCCUGCGGACAGAUCCGCA
rnacentral:rRNA from 1 species